GGAAAAAUCAAAAGAAGAAGAAGAAGAAGUUCAUAGGAAGAAGUGGUAGAUGGUCAUAGGUCAUGAGCUGGUAUGGUGAUUUGGAAGGCAGGAGCGAGAGAAGGAAGGUACACUGGAUUAGAGUAAGGUCACCAGAGAAAGAGGUCACAGUCACAAAGACAAAGAACAAGAUUUCAGGUGAAGAGGUCAGUGCUGUUAUCAUGAGAUGAGCGUGCAAUCUGUGACUGCAUUGAUCUCAGCGAUGGUAAAAAAGCCUCCAUAUGUUGUCCAAUUAUCAGGAACCGUUGGAUGAAUGUCUGUACCUCCACACACAGGACAUGUGAAAUCCCUUAGAGACCGUUCUGUCAUUACCCAGUCAUUACCCAUCAGCACAAAGAUCACACAUGCUUUCUGCCUCAACUGCUAAAGGUUAACAGUGGUGUCUCAUGUCAUUCUGUGGCUUUACGUCAGGGAGGAGGAGAUAUAGGAGGCUUUUGUCUUUAACCGUCAAAGACAAACUUUCUAUUCACCGACACGGUGACCGUUACGUCUACACCCAAUCCCAUUCCAGC
rnacentral:lncRNA from 1 species